ensembl:lncRNA
AGGAUGUUAUGAAAGUGAAAACAUAGAGUAUGAUUUCAAGACUUGCUGCUAUCGAAUACAGAUCGCCCCGUGAUCAAUUUGAUAGAUUAUUAACGUUUAUUAAUACCUAAAGUUGGUUUAGAUAAGUAGUUUGAAGUGAUUUGUAAAAGUUUAUAGGCAACUUUUGUAAUUUUAAAAAGUUACGUUGCGUCUUGUAAAGGGGCAUUUUUCUGGAUCAGACCGGUCUUCAGCAAAUCACAUUUUGGGUAUACAAUGACGGAUUUAAUCGGGAAAAAGACCCAAUUGUGAUGUUUAUGUGACAUAUAGGAGUGCCAAGAAAGAAGCUCGUCAAAGGACCUGAGCCCUAGGACCAUGCCCCAGGACUACCUGACAUGAUGACUCCUUGCUGUCCCCAGUCCACCUGGCCGUGCUGCUGCUCCAGUUUCAACUGCUCUGCCUUAUUAUUAUUGGACCAUGCUGGUCAUUUAUGAACAUCUUGGCCAUGUUCUGUUAUAAUCCUGGUCAUAAUGCUGGAAGUUCGGACGAUCAUCAGUAUAACACAAAACAUCCAACCAGAGGCCUCUUCACAGUCCCCAGGUCCAGAACAGAGGCUGGGAAACGCACAGUAUUAAAUAGAACCAGGACUACAUGGAACUCUCUGCCAUCCCAGGACCUGAGCCCUAGGACCAUGCCUCAGGACUACCUGGCAUGAUGACUCCUUGCUGUCCCCAGUAUCCCUGCCGUGCUGCUGUUCAACUGUUCUGCCUGCGGCUAUGGAACACUGGCCUGUUCACUGGACGUGCUGCCUGUCCCAGACCUGCUGUUUUCAACUCUCUAGAGACAGCAGGAGUGGCAGAGAUACUCUGAAUGAUCGGCUAUGAAAAGCCAACUGACAUUUACUCCUGAGGUACUGACUUGCUGCACCCUCAACAACUACUGUGAUUAUUAUUAUUUGACCAUGCUGGUCAUUUAUGAACAUUUGAACAUCUUGGUCAUGUUCAGUUAUAAUCUCCACACGGCACAGCCAGAAGAGGACUGGCCACCCCUCAUAGCCUCGUUCCUCUCUAGGUUUCUUGCUAGGUUUUGGCCUUUCUAGGGAGUUUUUCCAAGCCACCGUGCUUCUACACCUGCAUUAGCUUGCUGUUUGGGGUUUUAGGCUGGGUUUCUGUACAGCACUUUGAGAUAUCAGCUGAUGUCAGAAGGGCUGUAUAAAUAAAUUAGAUUUGAUAUACAUAAUUUUAAUAGCAGGGUAUAGUAAAGUCCAUUAUUUUUCUGAAGAGUAUAUGAGAAGUGUUGAAUGAGCAUGGGCGGAGUAUUCAUUGUGGUGCUCAUGAAUUUCCUUUCUUUUUCAGCUUCAAACCAAUAACUAUUCUCACUUAACUUCGUUUUUUUGUUUUUCAUUUCUAUGUUUUUUACACCGGAAGGUGAUUAUCCAACAUUAUUAUACAACAUUAUAAAACAGCACAUGCUCUCCUCACAAUGUCAUGCGUUUUAUUGAUUUGAUUUAUUGAUAAGAUCCUAGCUCAUAAUCCUACUGAUCAUUGCUCGAAGCAAAUUGGCGAGAGCAAGCAAACACAAACUGAAGUGAAUGUUUACUAUGUGAUUACACAAUGUGGCUGACUAGAUGACUACAGGAGAGAUUACACAAUGUAUCUGGCUGGAUGACUACAGGAGCGAGAAAUAUGGAUGAGCUGUUCAAUGGAAGAGUUCUGAAAUAUUCUUUCUCGCCAAGGCAAAAUGUGACUGUGAGUAUGUCAUAUUCAUCAAACUCGGUGGAAAUUACUUGGGCCACACAAAGG